CCCUUAGAUGUCCGGGGCCGCACGCGCGCUACACUGAAGGAAUCAGCGUGGCUUUCUCCCUGACCCGAAAGGGUUGGGAAACCCGUUGAAUCUCCUUCGUGAUAGGGAUUGGGGCUUGAAAUUGUUCCCCAUGAACGAGGAAUUCCCAGUAAGCGCGAGUCAUAAGCUCGCGUUGAUUACGUCCCUGCCCUUUGUACACACCGCCCGUCGCUACUACCGAUUGAACGGUUUAGUGAGGGCCUCGGAUUGGUCUCGGCCCGCUCUUUACCGGGCGGCGCCGUUGGUCGAGAAGACGCUCGAACUUGAUCGUUUAGAGGAAGUAAAAGUCGGAACA
rnacentral:rRNA from 1 species